UUCACUCAUUCAUGUGAAUUUAAAACACAUAUAGUAUCAAAGCAGGUACCCAAAUAAAAGAGGAAAAGACAAGAAUGGUUCUUCAGCACCUAAUACAGGCGAGUAGGUUGUAUACGUCUUGGUUAUAUUCCUUUUCAGCUGAGAUAGUUUUGGUUAGCUACUGCUACAUAAAGCUGAGUAACAAACAUACAAAUCCAAUCAGUAAAUGCAGCAUUUCUGAUCUCAGCUGUGCUCAUUUGUCUGCCUGAGAUUGGUUGGGGUUCAGGUGUUGGAGGUUGAUCUUGGCUGGGCAGUUCUGCUUAGGGAAGAAGGUCUGACUUGUAUAGUAUUGGCUCCUCACGGCUACCAUAGGCUCAGCACAGGUCGGCUUCAAGUGUGUUCAAUUGGAGAAUUAGGGAUAAAAAACAGCAACUAAUCAGUAGGGAAGGCUUUUUUUGUGGCAACAAGAGGAGCCCAAGAAAGUGAAUCCAACUCCAAGAAGAUAUUGAACCUCUCCUGUCUCAUGUUGCACAAGUACAAACAAUUCAGCCUCACUCCAUGGAUCCUCCUGUCAAAAGACUUGGCUUUUGUUCAUGUUUAUACUUUGAAGUUCCACAUCUGCUCCAAACUCUCAGCAAUGGUGGAUACCAUAUAAUAUACUGUGAUUUAAAAAAUGAAAAUCAAGAUUAAAAAUAUGAAAUUACUUUGUCCAUAUAGAAGAUGCAGAUCAUCUGGAACUCUCCUCCAUUGUUUGUGGAAUUAAACUAGUGCAAGCACGUAACAACUUAAACCUUGUAAAGUUGUUUUUAGCUAUAAGUCUGCUUAGAAAUCUUUUGGAUGUAAUAACUCAGAUUACCUCCCUGAAAUCAGAGCCGAAGAGGAAGUGGGGUAUUUUCAAAAACAAAAAAACAGAAAAAUAGCAGCAAACGGUUGACAUCUGCUACCUGAGACUAGAAGUAUGAAAAAAACUCAGGGGCAAAAUAUCAUAAUUGGAAUAAGAAGAUGAAGAAAUGAAAGAAGAAUUUGGGUGACUAUAGCUGCCUAACAAUAUUCUAAAGAUAAUCAUGAAGCAGUCACUGUAAGACUGAAUCUAAGCUAUUGCAGGGAAUAUGAUGGGACAAUUUUAGAGACCUUAGACAGGAGGAAUGAUAUUAAAGAAUAGAUAGAAAAUAAAAUAAAUCAGGCUAGGAAGUGUGGCCUUGUGUCUUG